rnacentral:sRNA from 1 species
AUUCUUGUGCUGUGCCUUUCAGUUGAACAGAAGAGGCUCCAUGUCUUACCUGGCAGCAGUCGAGGAAGAGGUGGAAGAAAGUUCCGUGAAGAGCGAAAAUGGAGAUGAGAAGGCAGAGCCAUCUCCUCAGUCUUGGUCUUCACUUUGGAAGCAUGACAAGGACAUGGAGGAAGACAGAGCUUCCUCAUCCUCUGGAACAAUUGUUCAGGAAGCAUAUGGGAAAAUAAGCACCUCUGAUAAUUCCAUGGCACAAAUCCUCACACCAGACUCACUAAACACUGAGCAAGGCCCAGAAUGUUCCCUAAGGCCCAACCAAACAGAAGAGGGCACCACACCUCCUAUUGAGGCUGACACUCUGGACUCUUCUGACGCGCAAGGAGGUUUGGAGCCCAGGGUGGAGAAAACUAGGCCGGAGCCCGCAGAAGUCCUGCAUGCCUGCAAGACCCAGGUGGCCGAGCUGGAGCUGUGGCUGCAACAAGCCAACGUGGCAGUUGAGCCGGAAACAUUAAACUCAGACAUGCAGCAGGUGCUGGAACAGCAGCUGGUAGGGUGCCAGG